rnacentral:rRNA from 1 species
CACGUAGGGUGCGAGCGUUGUCCGGAAUUAUUGGGCGUAAAGAGCUCGUAGGUGGUUUGUCGCGUUGUUCGUGAAAUCUCACGGCUUAACUGUGAGCGUGCGGGCGAUACGGGCAGACUAGAGUACUGCAGGGGAGACUGGAAUUCCUGGUGUAGCGGUGGAAUGCGCAGAUAUCAGGAGGAACACCGGUGGCGAAGGCGGGUCUCUGGGCAGUAACUGACACUGAGGAGCGAAAGCGUGGGGAGCGAACAGG